GACGAACGCUGGCGGCGUGCCUAACACAUGCAAGUCGAGCGAACAGACCCUGCGCUUGUUCCUUGCUCGUUAGCCGCACGCGUGAGAAACACGCGAGUAUACCGUCCUUAACUUUCGGGGAACACCUCGGGACAGGGGCGAUUACAGCGUAUGAUCUCCUGCAGCAUGUGGGUGGAUGGAGAGUUACGGCUGUUGUGGAUGGAAUCGCGGCGUAUCAGCCUGUUUGUAAGGUAACGGCUUAACAAGGCUAUGAAGGGUAGCCGACCUGAGAGGGUGAUCGGCCACACUGGAACUGAGACACGGUCCAGACUCCUACGGGAGGCAGCAGUAGGGAAUCUUACGCAAUGGGCGAAAGCCUGACGGAGCAACGCCGCGUGAGUGAUGAAGGUCUUCGGAUCGUAAAACUCUGUUAUUAGGGAAGAACAAAUGUGUAAGUAACUAUGCACGUCUUGACGGUACCUAAUCAGAAAGCCACGGCUAACUACGUG
rnacentral:rRNA from 1 species